GGUAAAGGCUCACCAAGGCGACGAUCCGUAACUGGUCUGAGAGGAUGAUCAGUCACACUGGAACUGAGACACGGUCCAGACUCCUACGGGAGGCAGCAGUGGGGAAUAUUGGACAAUGGGCGAAAGCCUGAUCCAGCCAUGCCGCGUGUGUGAAGAAGGUCUUCGGAUUGUAAAGCACUUUAAGUUGGGAGGAAGGGCAGUAACUUAAUACGUUGCUGUUUUGACGUUACCGACAGAAUAAGCACCGGCUAACUCUGUGCCAGCAGCCGCGGUAAUACAGAGGGUGCAAGCGUUAAUCGGAAUUACUGGGCGUAAAGCGCGCGUAGGUGGUUUGUUAAGUUGGAUGUGAAAUCCCCGGGCUCAACCUGGGAACUGCAUUCAAAACUGACAAGCUAGAGUAU
rnacentral:rRNA from 1 species